rnacentral:rRNA from 1 species
GACGAACGCUGGCGGCGGGCUUAACACAUGCAAGUCGAACGGAAAGUCCGUGCUUUUGUGGGGUGCUCGAGUGGCGAACGGGUGAGUAACACGUGAGUAACCUGUCCUUGACUUUGGGAUGACUUCAGGACACUGGGGCUCAUACCGGAUAGGAGCUCUUGCUGCAUGGUGGGGGUUGGACAGUUUCGGCGGUUGGGUAUGGACUCGCGGCUUGUCAGCUUGUUUGUGGGGUAGUGGCUUACCAAGGCUUUGACGGGUAGGCGGCCUGAGAGGGUCACCGGCCACGUUGGAACUGGAAUGAGGCACAGCCUCCUACGGGAGGCAGCAGUGGAGAAGAGUACACAGUGGGCGGAGGCAUGAUGCAGCAACGCCGCGUGCGGGAAGACGGCCAGCGGGUUGUAAACCGAUUUCGUUUGUGACGAAGCGUGAGUGACGGUAAUGGGUGAAGAAGCACCGGCUAACUACGUG